rnacentral:rRNA from 1 species
AUUGAACGCUGGCGGCAGGCUUAACACAUGCAAGUCGAGCGGGGGAAGGUAGCUUGCUACCGGACCUAGCGGCGGACGGGUGUGUAAUGCUUAGGAAUCUGCCUAUUAGUGGGGGACAACAUCUCGAAAGGGAUGCUAAUACCGCAUACGUCCUACGGGAGAAAGCAGGGGAUCUUCGGACCUUGCGCUAAUAGAUGAGCCUAAGUCGGAUUAGCUAGUUGGUGGGGUAAAGGCCUACCAAGGCGACGAUCUGUAGCGGGUCUGAGAGGAUGCUCCGCCACACUGGGACUGAGAGACGGCCCAGACUCCUACGGGAGGUAGCAGUGGGGAAUAUUGGACAAGGGGGGGGACCCUGAUCCAGCCAUGCCGCGUGUGUGAAGAAGGCCUUAUGGUUGUAAAGCACUUUAAGCGAGGAGGAGGCUACUCUAGUUAAUACCUAGGGAUAGUGGACGUUACUCGCAGAAUAAGCACCGGCUAACUCUGUGCCAGCCGCCGCAGUAA